rnacentral:lncRNA from 1 species
AAAGUUAUUUUGAAUAGUUAUCGUAGGUGAUAUUACUCAUAAGUGGUAGAUUACCAUCUAAGUAAAAUGUAUACAUAUUAUUUUGUGUUGUGAUACCUUUAAACCAUGGCUAUUAGUCCUAAAUAUGAAAACUUCUCGUUUGUUGGUUCCAAAGAAGAUUUGUUUACAAAGUAUAAACGCAAGUGUACUGACGCUACCAUAAGACAGAAACGAUCAAAAUACAUAACAACUGGCGUGGUGUUAUUUCUGUUGGUUGCCUUGGUGAUAGGCCUGUCAAUAGGAUUACAUGUGACAAAGUCUGCUGAAAAAGUUGAAUCUUCCGGAGACUGUCGAUACACACGGGAGCAUAGAAACAUAUGAUGAAAAUAACACUGUCCACAUUAAUGGAAAAUUGUCGUCUGCUCUUCUUUUGACGGAAACAGUUACGCCUCUACUGAAUAAAGAGAAAUCGGCAGGGGAACAAGACACAGUGCAAGAUCAAGAGUCAUUGCCAUGCUCAAAUAAAUUACAAUGCCCAUAAAAUAGGAACACAUGGUGCCUUAUCAUCAACAGAUCCAACAAGCUAAAUACAACAUCAUGGAAAGUUCAGCAUUUGUACAACUUUAGUCGAUUCUUCAUUCAUGUUGGCAUAAGCAACUUUUACAGUGACUGGGCAAUAUUUCUUCUAACUUCAGAGAAAAAGUGAACAUUUUAGCAUAGUAUUCCACCAUGUGUGUCACUUUCUUUUCAUAUUCACUCUUGUAUCAUAAUACAUGAGCAGACAUUCAACUGGUAUUAAAUUCGAGCCUAGAUAAUCGAUCAAAAUCAGAAACAAUUUUUGCAAUAUUUUCUUCAGUAUAAAUAUGUACAGAUUUAACCGGUUAUAUGAAUGCACCAAAAGGUUAUAACUUAAAAAAUUAUCGUUUCUAAUUUAUGUACUGUUUUAAAGGUCUUUGGUUGAAAUAUCUCGGAAAGUGUGUAACAGCAACCAGUUUUCAUGCAAACAAAGUGUCAAGGUUUAAGCAGACUUAUUACCAUUAGUUAUUAUAAUUAUUUGUAAUGUUCAUUACCAACGUUAAAACUUCUCAUUUAUUGUUCAAAUUUUGAUAUAACAUUUUAGACAAGUGAAGUCAAUUAAAUCUAAAAUAGUUUUA